CUAAGUGGAAUUGAUUGUGGGAAAACUCCAUAGUUAAGCACACUUGAGCCAGAGGCGUAUUGGGAUGGGUCACCACCUGGGAAGUCCUGGUUACUGGGU
rfam:Picea glauca, whole genome shotgun sequence.